CGCAAGCCUGACGGAGCAAUACCGCGUGAGGGAGGAAGGCCUUUGGGUUGUAAACCUCUUUUCUUAAGGAAGAAGAUCUGACGGUACUUAAGGAAUCAGCAUCGGCUAACUCCGUGCCAGCAGCCGCGGUAAUACGGAGGAUGCAAGCGUUAUCCGGAAUUAUUGGGCGUAAAGCGUCCGCAGGCGGCACUAUAAGUCUGCUGUCAAAGACCGCAGCUCAACUGCGGAAAGGCAGUGGAAACUGUAGAGCUAGAGUACGGUAGGGGUAGAGGGAAUUCCCAGUGUAGCGGUGAAAUGCGUAGAGAUUGGGAAGAACACCAGUGGCGAAAGCGCUCUACUGGGCCGUAACUGACGCUCAGGGACGAAAGCUAGGGGAGCG
rnacentral:rRNA from 1 species